UAAGAAUUAAAAUGAGCCUAUAAAAGGCACUGGCUCUACAAGCCCAUGCUAAUUAUUCUGUCAAGCAUCAUGUCUCUUUUCAAAGGCGAGAAAGUGGGUUGUGGUAUGGAUGGUAACGAGUUUUCAUGAGGCCCAUUGAUGAGCCAAGAAAUGGAAGUUUUAGGCUGCUUGGGAGCCCCAAAACUCAAGCCCAUUCUUUGAGCCCAAAUAUGCGGGUAGGCAUAAAACAGAGAAGAAUUAGCCCAAUACUCUAGAAAAAUUGGCCCAUCACCUUUAUAAAAUAGCAUAUCACCUUAAUAAGAUAGCCCAUAACUUUAGGAAAUUAGCCCAUUCUCUUAAUGCGCUAACCCAUCACCUUAGGAAAGCCUAAGCAACCAAUAAGAAAAUAUCUGCAAUCUCCAGCACAUGGCUGGAGACAAAAGCUUCGACAAAAGCUUCGACAAAACCCAAAGCUACCUAUGUAUGUGAACUGCAGGGAGGCUCCAGCACGUGGGCAAAGCAAACCUCAAGAUAGAUAGUUCCAAAAACUAGAGGAUAUUGGCGCGCGCAGGAGAAAAGGCAGCCUUCAGACCAGCCAAGGUUAUCUAUCUCCUUCCUUUACCAAGCCGCCCUCUGGGGUACCCUUUGGUACCGGAUUCAAAGGAUUAGUGCACCAUCUUGCCAUGAAAUAGGGGAGGAAAGAAGGAGAGGUGAUAACCAAAGAUAGGAAAUCCCCACUGAAGCAGCUGCGGGAAAAGCCUUUAGAGUUCCCAAAAACCUUGUCUUGGUGUGUUUGGACAGAGAAAAAUUGCAUAAAAGAGGAUGAAUCGAAAGGAAAUAAUAAAAAGGGAAGGGGAGACUUGGCCAAAUUGGAGAGAAACCAUUAGGGUUUCUUGGAAUGGAGGAGCUUCCAGCGGCUAUAAAAAGGGUCACCUCCUACCCAACACACAACACACAUUUGGAGAGCAAGCUUUAUCUCUCACAUCUGAAACCUCUGCAAUUUCGAGCCCCAUCCUUCCAUCUCUCCCCAUUUUCCCUUCUGGUAAACUGUUCCAAAGCUUGACAGAGUUUUCGUCGAGCUGCCGAAAAGUACUCAACACACCCAUUAUACCCUCUCUGUCUCUCUCUCUCUCUCUCUCUGUCUCUCUCUCUUUCUUUUCAACAAACCUUCUUAGAAUCCCUUACCCCUUUCCUUAGAACCUCUGUAUCUUGUAGGAACUCACAGCUUUGUCUCUCUCUCUUUAAUGCUAAACUCAUGAUUGCUUUGCUCCCAUACCACAAACUUCUCAUGCCAAGCUAAGAAUCUACCUGUAAGCAACUAUUAGUUUUGCUGGUGAAAGUAACCAAGGUGCUUCCUAAGGCUCAGCUACCAUUUCGAAGCAUUCUCAGGGCCUAAUUCUUGAACUGAGACCUAGGGGCAAUUUUCUCUCAUUUGGUUCUUUACGGCAGCUCAGACUCGCAGUAACUGCUGGAACGAAAAAGCCCAUACAUCAUUUGGUUCUUUACGGCAGCUCAGACUCGCAGUAACUGCUGGAACGAAAAAGCCCAUACAUAAGCUAAACAAAUGAACGCAAGAGGCGAUUUCCAUUUGCCUCGCUUCGAGGCGCGCUUAGGCAUGCCUUUGAAAACAUUGUUUUACAUAAAGAAUAUGAUCUCAAUAGUUAAAUAUAUCAACAAUAAGAAUCAUAAUCCAAAGUCUGAGAAUCACGUAGGAGAGAUGCAUCCAAAGCCUGAGCAUGACGUAGGAGAGAUGAGUGGGACGUGAGAGAGAACGGAAGGGGAGUGAGGAAACAGUAGAAAUAGACUUCCAUCAAUUUUGGUAACAAUUAAAAAAAGAAUAACAAAAUUUUAAAUAAAAUUCUGCUAGCUAAUGUGCCCACAACAUCUUUGGAUUUAGGGGUGCAAGUUGGAAUGGAAAUUCCGAUUCCGACUGAUUUCAAUUCGAAAAUUUCCGAUUUUGGCGAGUCCAAAUCAAUUCCAACAUCCGAAUGUUCCGAAAUCCGAAAAUUCUCAACAAAAAAAAAAAAAAAAAAGAUUUGGAAUUGGAAUAUAUUUCAAGAUUCCGAAAAUUCCGAAUUUUGAAAUAUAUUGAACAUUCAAGCUUAAACUACACAUAAUGACUAGUUUCAUGUUGAAUUUGACAUGACUAUAACCAAACAGACAUAGCUAUUUCAUAAAGGAUAACAACAUAUAAGUGAUAGCACAUAAUAGUUUUUUUGAGCUUUUCCGUAUGAUUUUUCAAUUUUGAACAAAUUUUAACCUUUCAAAUUGUUAGAUAUCUUUUAAAUUG
rnacentral:lncRNA from 1 species